rnacentral:rRNA from 1 species
UAGGGAAUCUUCCACAAUGGACGCAAGUCUGAUGGAGCAACGCCGCGUGAGUGAAGAAGGUUUUCGGAUCGUAAAGCUCUGUUGUUGGUGAAGAAGGAUAGAGGCAGUAACUGGUCUUUAUUUGACGGUAAUCAACCAGAAAGUCACGGCUAACUACGUGCCAGCAGCCGCGGUAAUACGUAGGUGGCAAGCGUUGUCCGGAUUUAUUGGGCGUAAAGCGAGCGCAGGCGGAAUGAUAAGUCUGAUGUGAAAGCCCACGGCUCAACCGUGGAACUGCAUCGGAAACUGUCAUUCUUGAGUGCAGAAGAGGAGAGUGGAACUCCAUGUGUAGCGGUGGAAUGCGUAGAUAUAUGGAAGAACACCAGUGGCGAAGGCGGCUCUCUGGUCUGCAACUGACGCUGAGGCUCGAAAGCAUGGGUAGCGAACAGGAUUAGAUACCCUGGUAGUCCAUGCCGUAAACGAUGAGCGCUAGGUGUUGGGGACUUUCCGGUCCUCAGUGCCGCAGCAAAC